UUCAGUGGAAUAGGGGAGGUGGUUGUUCUGGUCCCUGUGUUUUUUUCAGUGGAAUAGGGGAGGUGGUUGUUCUGGUCCCUGUGUUUUUUUCAGUGGAAUAGGGGAGGUGAUUGUUCUGGUCCCUGUGUUUUUUUCAGUGGAAUAGGGGAGGUGGUUGUUCUGGUCCCUGUGUUUUUUUCAGUGGAAUAGGGGAGGUGAUUGUUCUGAUGCCUGUGUUUUAUCAGUGGAAUAGGGGAGGUGGUUGUUCUGGUCCCUAUGUUUUUCCAGUGGAAUAGGGGAGGUGGUUGUUCUGGUCCCUGUGUUUUUUUCAGUGGAAUAGGGGAGGUGAUUGUUCUGAUGCCUGUGUUUUUUCAGUGGAAUAGGGGAGGUGGUUGUUCUGGUCCCUGUGUUUUUCCAGUGGAAUAGGGGAGGUGAUUGUUCUGAUGCCUGUGUUUUAUCAGUGGAAUAGGGGAGGUGGUUGUUCUGGUCCCUAUGUUUUUCCAUUGGAAUAGGGGAGGUGAUUGUUCUGAUGCCUGUGUUUUAUCAGUGGAAUAGGGGAGGUGGUUGUUCUGGUCCCUAUGUUUUUCCAGUGGAAUAGGGGAGGUGAUUGUUCUGGUCCCUGUGUUUUUUUCAGUGGAAUAGGGGAGGUGAUUGUUCUGA